rnacentral:rRNA from 1 species
UACGUAGGCAGCAAGCGUUGUUCGGAAUUACUGGGCGUAAAGAGUGUGUAGGCGGUGUUCCAAGUCUGGUGUGAAAUCUCCCGGCUUAACUGGGAGGGUGCAUUAGAAACUGGAAUGCUAGAGGAUGGGAGAGGUAGGCGGAAUUCCUGGUGUAGCGGUGAAAUGCGUAGAUAUCGGGAGGAACACCUGUGGCGAAAGCGGCGCACUGGACCACAACUGACGCUGAGGCGCGAAAGCUAGGGGAGCAAACAGG